rnacentral:rRNA from 1 species
UACGGAGGGAGCUAGCGUUGUUCGGAAUUACUGGGCGUAAAGCGCGCGUAGGCGGCUUUGUAAGUUAGAGGUGAAAGCCCGGGGCUCAACUCCGGAACUGCCUUUAAGACUGCAUCGCUUGAAUCCGGGAGAGGUGAGUGGAAUUCCGAGUGUAGAGGUGAAAUUCGUAGAUAUUGGGAAGAACACCGGUGGCGAAGGCGGCGAGCUGGUCCAUUACUGACGCUGAGGCGCGACAGCGUGGGGAGCAAACAGG